rnacentral:rRNA from 1 species
AUACGUAGGGGGCGGGCGUUGUCCGGAAUGAUUGGGCGUAAAGGGCGCGUAGGCGGCCUGUUAAGUCUGGAGUGAAAGUCCUGUUUUCAAGAUGGGAAUUGCUUUGGAUACUGAUGGGCUUGAGUGCAGGAGAGGUUAUCGGAAUUCCCGGUGUAGCGGUGAAAUGCGUAGAGAUCGGGAGGAACACCAGUGGCGAAGGCGGGUAACUGGGCUGCAACUGACGCUGAGGCGCGAAAGUGUGGGGAGCAAACAGGAUUAGAUACCCUGGUAGUCCACACUGUAAACGAUGAAUGCUAGGUGUAGGGGGUAUCGACCCCUUCUGUGCCGCAGUCAACACAAUAAGCAUUCCGCCUGGGGAGUACGGCCGCAAGGUUGAAACUCAAAUGAAUUGACGGGG